UACAGAGGGUGCGAGCGUUUAAUCGGAAUUACUGGGCGUAAAGCGUGCGUAGACGGCUAUCUAAGUCGGGUGUGAAAGCCCCGGGCUCAACCUGGGAAUUGCAUUCGAGACUGAAUAGCUAGGGUACGGUAGAGGGAAGUGGAAUUUCCGGUGUAGCGGUGAAAUGCGUAGAUAUCGGAAGGAACAUCAGUGGCGAAAAGCGACUUCCUGGACCAGUAC
rnacentral:rRNA from 1 species